rnacentral:rRNA from 1 species
UACGUAGGGUGCAAGCGUUAAUCGGAAUUACUGGGCGUAAAGCGUGUGCAGGCGGUUAUGUAAGUCAGGUGUUAAAUGCCCGGGCUUAACCUGGGAACUGCAUUUGUGACUGCAUGGCUAGAGUUUGGCAGAGGGGGGUAGAAUUCCACGUGUAGCAGUGAAAUGCGUAGAUAUGUGGAGGAACACCGAUGGCGAAGGCAGCCCCCUGGGUCAAGACUGACGCUCAUGCACGAAAGCGUGGGGAGCAAACAGG